ensembl:lncRNA
AGGAUCCAUUGGUGACCAAGUGAUGUAAUGCUAAAUUUCUCCAAAUCUGCUCUGAUGAAAAAACAAACUCAUUUACAUCAUGACUGAGGAGAGACCAAAAUCAGACCACCCAUGAUAACUAUAUAAGGUGUGGCUGCUUGUUGAAGAGGUCUGUCGAUGUCCACGGGGCAAGUGCCAUAUGGACAGGGACAUGUUGGGCAGUGUUGCUUCAAUAAAUUGUUGUUGACACUGCCCUCUAGAGAUGUGUGAUAUCACAUUAGUAUUGUAGGUCCCUGCCCAGACGUCAGCUCUACUUGCACCAGAAGCUCUGCGGCUACUUCAUCUCAAGCAGAGAGCAUGCAUGCUCUAGAGACGUGCUGUCUUUGACCAUAUAUGAGUCCUCACAUUUUGUUUUUCCUCUCCUCCCGUCUGUUCAUUCCCUUACGUCACAGCACCACCGUCUCAUAAAUCAUCAGAGAGCCUUACCAAGGGUCUUGUCAUGACUCUGCAAGCAUUUGCGCUCAGAGGAAGGACUUAGCAGGGCAGAGAAUAUCCAACUGACACUCUGGCUCAGUUAAUAAAUAUGUAGUAGGAUCUAUUGUAAAGCAUUAAUGUCAGCCAGGUAUCGCUGCAUGGCUUUGUCAGUCUCUUUUCAAUGUUCUUCAGCACAUAAAAACAAAUACACACGUAAAUGAGCCAAAUUCACACUCGCUAUCUACAGUGUGGGUGUAGGAGAACACAAAGUGUUCAUCAGGAAGACCUCAAAUCGCCUCAUGAAUGUUCGAGAACAUCCACAUUUCUUUAAUUAGCACUUGUGGUAGGUUCUGUUGGAGAGUUCAGAAAUAUAUUUUCUAUUUUGUGCGUUUGAUGGAAUUUCAGAGCAACUGCAAUGAGGUCUUGACCCCAGAGUAUUGCAUAAUAUUUUCAUCUUUCCUUGUGGUUGUUGUUGGAGGCAAGAUUCAUUAAUGUUCUUCCAGGCGCAGGUCAAUUGCUAGACUGUAUGUAUUAUGUGGGAGCUGCCGCUAACUGUCUUAUUCAUGGUAGUGGACCCAUAUGGCCACAUUAACCUUUAUGAUGAUUAAACAAUAUGCAUGGCACACUAAUCUAUUUGUCUACCAGCACACAUAGCAUUGCCCGUUAAAUCCUGUCCUUUGUCAGCAUGCAGUGUUGUAUCAUUUUAUAAGGCCAAUAAAGUAAUUCGCACAAUUUUUAUGAUAAUGGCAUUAGUAUAUAGAUUGGGGGUGUGUCAAAAUGUUGGUCCUAUAGGCAGUCCUAAAAUUUAAUUGUCUACCUGAGUUGCCACUGAAAAUGUCUAAACUAUGUUUGGCUAUGUCAUUCAGCGGCAGGAAGAUUAAAG